CCUAGCAAUCGACUCUAGUUGCUCUUUGUGAACAGAAGCAGAAAUGGCGAAGUCGAAGAACCACACAGCUCACAACCAGUCCUACAAGGCCCACAAAAAUGGCAUCAAGAAGCCCAGAAAGCACCGCCAUACCUCCACCAAAGGGAUGGAUCCCAAGUUCUUGAGGAACCAGAGGUAUGCCAGAAAGCACAACAACAAGAGUGGAGAGGGCUCCGCUGAUGAGGAGUAGAUAACACUAAGUCUCCAAGAAUAGCAUAAUGUUAUAUGAGAUUGUUUCUUAGAAUUAUUAGAGAAGGAAGGCUGGCAAAUUGUUAUACACCACUUUUUGAACUAAGUUUUCAAUGUCGUUCGUGUUAUCAUUAUGUAUGAGGUACUUGAUUUAUAUUUUUGACAAUAUGGCUUGAAAAAUUGUUUCUUUUCUGUUA